GACGAACGCUGGCGGCGUGCUUAACACAUGCAAGUCGAACGGAAAGGCCCUGCUUUUGUGGGGUGCUCGAGUGGCGAACGGGUGAGUAACACGUGAGUAACCUGCCCUUGACUUUGGGAUAACUUCAGGAAACUGGGGCUAAUACCGGAUAGGCGCUCCUGCUGCAUGGUGGGGGUUGGAAAGUUUCGGCGGUUGGGGAUGGACCCGCGGCUUAUCAGCUUGUUGGUGGGGUAGCGGCUUACCAAGGCUUUGACGGGUAGCCGGCCUGAGAGGAUGACCGGCCACAUUGGGACUGAGAUGCGGCCCAGACUCAUACGGGAGGCAGCAGUGGGGAAUAUUGCACAAUGGGCGGAAGCCUGAUGCAGCAACGCCGCGUGCGGGAUGACGGCCUUCGGGUUGUAAACCGCUUUCGCCUGUGACGAAGCGUGAGUGACGGUAAUGGGUAAAGAAGCACCGGCUAACUACGUG
rnacentral:rRNA from 1 species